rnacentral:rRNA from 1 species
UACAGAGGGUGCAAGCGUUGUUCGGAAUUAUUGGGCGUAAAGCGCGUGUAGGCGGCUUUGCAAGUCGGGUGUGAAAGCCCUCAGCUCAACUGAGGAAGUGCGCCCGAAACUGCAGAGCUUGAGUGCCGGAGAGGGUGGCGGAAUUCCCCAAGUAGAGGUGAAAAUUCGUAGAUAUGGGGAGGAACACCGGUGGCGAAGGCGGCCACCUGGACGGUAACUGACGCUGAGACGCGAAAGCGUGGGGAGCGAACAGG